rnacentral:rRNA from 1 species
AUGGCCGGAAUUGUCCACAAGGAGUUUCCUGAGUUGGCCCAGACAGGGCUGAACUACCUGUCAUGGUCCUCGGACUGCGAGAUCUUUCUCCAGGGCAAAACCCUCCUGAGGGCGAUCGGUAAGGGGGCCCAGUUGGCCGUCACUGAUCCCAAGUUCGAGACUGAGAAUGCGCAGGCUCUGCAUUUUCUCCGUCAUCACCUGUCACCUACUCUGAAAGAUGAGUAUAUGGCUGAGCGCAGUGCUUCUGGCCUUUGGACCGCUCUUAAGCAGCGGUUUGAGCGGCUGAAGUACACUGUGAAGCCACGUGCAGAGGCAGAGUGGAUCCGUCUGAGGUUUGCGGACUUCAAGACGGUUGGGGAGUACAAUUCGGCUCUGCACCGGAUUUGUACGACUCUUCGGUUGUGUGGUACUGAGAUUACCGACUCCCAGAAGAUUGAGAAAACCCUAUCCACUUUCCACCCCGACGCGGUCCAGUCCUCACGGAACUACCGCCAGGGGAACUACACGAGGUAUUCAGAGUUGAUUGACGUCCUCCAGGUGGCGGAGGCGCAAGACGAGGUUCUCAAAAAGAA